AUACGUAGGUGGCAAGCGUUGUCCGGAAUUACUGGGCGUAAAGAGCUCGUAGGUGGUUUGUCGCGUCGUCUGUGAAAUUCCGGGGCUUAACUCCGGGCGUGCAGGCGAUACGGGCAUAACUUGAGUACUGUAGGGGAGACUGGAAUUCCUGGUGUAGCGGUGAAAUGCGCAGAUAUCAGGAGGAACACCGGUGGCGAAGGCGGGUCUCUGGGCAGUAACUGACGCUGAGGAGCGAAAGCAUGGAUAGCGAACAGGAUUAGAUACCCUGGUGGUCCAUGCCGUAAACGGUGGGCGCUAGGUGUAGGGGUCUUCCACGACUUCUGUGCCGUAGCUAACGCAUUAAGCGCCCCGCCUGGGGAGUACGGCCGCAAGGCUAAAACUCAAAUGAAUUGACGGGG
rnacentral:rRNA from 1 species